rnacentral:rRNA from 1 species
CCCAGUGGCGAUAGAACGUUGAAUGCAUCACUUCCCGAUCGAUCACUGAAGCAACGUUGCGCGUGGUCGGUAUCUGGAUGGGUGACCGUCUGGACAAACGCGGUCUGCUGGCU